CGGCUCCGUGACUCGUCCGUGGACGCCGGUUCGAGCCCCGUCCCGGGCGCCGCGGAGCCUCA
ensembl:miRNA